AUGAACGCUGGCGGCGUGCCUAAUACAUGCCCGUCGAGCGAACAGACGAGGAGCUUGCUCCUCUGACGUUAGCGGCGGACGGGUGAGUAACACGUGGAUAACCUACCUAUAAGACUGGGAUAACUUCGGGAAACCGGAGCUAAUACCGGAUAAUAUAUUGAACCGCAUGGUUCAAUAGUGAAAGACGGUUUUGCUGUCACUUAUAGAUGGAUCCGCGCCGCAUUAGCUAGUUGGUAAGGUAACGGCUUACCAAGGCAACGAUGCGUAGCCGACCUGAGAGGGUGAUUGGCCACACUGGAACUGAGACACGGUCCAGACUCCUACGGGAGGCAGCAGUAGGGAAUCUUCCGCAAUGGGCGAAAGCCUGACGGAGCAACGCCGCGUGAGUGAUGAAGGUCUUCGGAUCGUAAAACUCUGUUAUUAGGGAAGAACAAAUGUGUAAGUAACUAUGCACGUCUUGACGGUACCUAAUCAGAAAGCCACGGCUAACUACGUG
rnacentral:rRNA from 1 species